rfam:Fistulifera solaris DNA, contig: scaffold00279, strain: JPCC DA0580.
GCAACUUUGUCCGAGUUGGUCUAAGGAGGUGGUUUCAAGCACCACUGUAUUCGUACGCAUGGGUUCGAAUCCCAUAGGUUGCA